GAUAGAAUUUAGAGGGGAUAUCUGAUGGCAAUUUUCUCCAGUCCCCCUUCCAAUGCAGCCUGGGACAGGGGAAUUCAUUUACAAAAUGGGCACACUUGGAGAGCUCUGCUGUGCAGGAGCAGGAAUCUGCUGGAAUUCAGGGCAGAUUUCAAGAAAAAAAUGCACAGAAUUUCUAGUCCCUUACACUGGAAUAUCUCAGACUGAUAAUAACAGCAACCUCAAAAUAUUAGUUCUUAAGAAUCACUCAAUAUCGGAGGGAAAUUAAUUCCCAGAGCAGUAUUUGUAAUAAAAAUAAAGGUUUCUGUACUACA
rnacentral:lncRNA from 1 species